UGUGCCUUUGUAAUGCAGAGGAGACUGUCUUUGACUUUUCUCUUCAAAGGUGUCGGGAACGCAAGGUUUAGCUGUGGCAGGUGCUUUCAGCAUGAAGUCUUUCCUAACAGUUUCUUCUCACAGUUCUGCAUUGUGGAGAUCUCUAAUAAAGGAUGAAGCACUUCAUUCAGGUGAACAGCGUAACGCACUGUUGCUCUCCGAAUCCAGGCAGCUGUGGCUUUCUAAGGCAAUGUGCUUGGCCAGGAUUUCUCAACACCACCUGUGUCUGCAACCCUUUGGUAUAGUUGAAAGCCUCGAGAUGUACUGAAAGCCUUAAAUCAGCCAGUUGUCCACUUCGUUGUGAAGUGACGACAGGCAAAGAGCAGGAGACGGAGGCAGAGUUCUCUCUGCCCGGUGCAGCCUUUGGAUCCCACGGAAAUGUACCCUUUUCUACGCCCAAAAAGAAAACCAGGUGAUUCUAGGCCUACUACUAGUUUUUCUUAGCUCACAGACCUUGGCUCCACUAAGUUUAGAAGGCCAGCAUAGAAAGAUACGUUGUACAACAAACACAGCACGCUACAAGAGAUGAUCAACUGUAUUAUACAUUUAAUAAAUGAACUGGUCCACAAACAUGAAUGGGACAUUUAUACAGUUCAGUUGUGUACAUAAUGAAGAACACCGUAAAAACCCUACCUAUGCGUCGCUUGUAACUUUCUUGGCUACAGUAUACACCAAGUAUACAAUAUAUUCAUCGAUUGCUUCCAAAAUGGCCUUGAACUUCUAAGUUUUGCAUUCCCUUGUUAAAAAAAA